UACGGAGGAGGCAAGCGUUAUCCGGAAUUAUUGGGCGUAAAGCGUCCGCAGGUGGCUCUUCAAGUCUGUCGUCAAAGACUGGGGCUUAACCCUGGAAAGGCGGUGGAAACUGAAGCGCUAGAGUGCGGUAGGGGUAGAGGGAAUUCCUGGUGUAGCGGUGAAAUGCGCAGAUAUCAGGAAGAACACCCGUGGCGAAAGCGGCUCUCUGGAACGGUACUGACGCUGAGACGCGAAAGCGUGGGGAGCGAACAGG
rnacentral:rRNA from 1 species